rnacentral:tRNA from 1 species
GUCCCCAUAGCCUAACGGAUAAGGCAGCGGUCUUCUAAAUCGCGGAUCUGGGUUCAAUUCCUAGUGGGGAUG